CUACCUCAUAUUAUCAGGAUCAGACUCAUUCUUUGGACUGUUUUCCAUCAGUGGUCAGCAGUAACAGCUAGCUAAAUAUCUAGCUUCUACUGCUGAGAAAAAGAUCACAUUAGCAUGGAUUAGAGUAGGGUUAGCAACAACACAGAAACAUGGAAUAAAGAUGAGACAAUCAAUAACUAUUAUUGAUCAAUGUGGAGCAGAAAGGUUCGUUUUUCAGACAUUUUGAGGCCCAGAUGUUCUGGAAUGAUCCAGCUCUGAGUUGGUCUCCUCAGGUUGAUCUUCUGCUGGUGAAGCUCUGCUGCAGGUCUCUGGUUGGUCUCCUCAGGUUGAUCUUCUGAUGCUGAAGCUCUGCUGCAGGUCUCUGGUUGGUCUCCUCAGGUUGAUCUUCUGCUGGUGAAGCUCUGCUGCAGGUCUCUGGUUGGUCUCCUCAGGUUGAUCUUCUGCUGGUGAAGCUCUGCUGCAGGUCUCUGGUUGGUCUCCUCAGGUUGAUCUUCUGCUGGUGAAGCUCUGCUGCAGGUCUCUGGUUGGUCUCCUCAGGUUGAUCUUCUGCUGCUGAAGCUCUGCUGCAGGUCUCUGGUUGUGGCUCAUUUUAUUUCCUCCCACUUCACCAGAACCGGUGCAGACUCUCAGUUUGAAUGUCUGUCAAAGUGUUUAUCAGACGUUUGGUGACUAAUUCUGCAUCUAACCGCCCGCAUGCUGCAGCUUUAAAGGUCUCGUGUGUUUCUGUUCUUCUGCUUCGUCGGUCCAGUUGUUGGGUUCAGGCUGUUCUGGUGAAAUUGGAGCUAACGAACGGCGACCUGAGCAACACAAGCAGCGUUUCCCCUCCAUGGGAGUCACUUUGUGUCUUGUUUUUUUUAUCUUCUGUCUUCUUUUUGUCUUUUUUGUGUCUUGUUUUUUUAUUUGGUGUCUUGUUUUUGUCUUUUUAUACCUUCUUUUUGUAAUUUUCUGUCUUCUUUUUGUCAUUUUGUGUCUUAUUUUGGUCGUUUUGUGUCUU